rnacentral:rRNA from 1 species
GACGAACGCUGGCGGCGUGCCUAAUACAUGCAAGUUGAGCGCUGAAGGUUGGUACUUGUACCAACUGGAUGAGCAGCGAACGGGUGAGUAACGCGUGGGGAAUCUGCCUUUGAGCGGGGGACAACAUUUGGAAACGAAUGCUAAUACCGCAUAAAAACUUUAAACACAAGUUUUAAGUUUGAAAGAUGCAAUUGCAUCACUCAAAGAUGAUCCCGCGUUGUAUUAGCUAGUUGGUGAGGUAAGGGCUCACCAAGGCGAUGAUACAUAGCCGACCUGAGAGGGUGAUCGGCCACAUUGGGACUGAGACACGGCCCAAACUCCUACGGGAGGCAGCAGUAGGGAAUCUUCGGCAAUGGACGAAAGUCUGACCGAGCAACGCCGCGUGAGUGAAGAAGGGUUUCGGAUCGUAAAAAUCUGUUGGUAGAGAAGAACGUUGGUGAGAGUGGAAAGCUCAUCAAGUGACGGUAACUACCCAGAAAGGGACGGCUAACUACGUG